AGAAUUGUGGAAAAUAGAAAAGUUGUGUUAGUUGGAAAAGAUAAAGAAUUAGGUGUGUCCAAGAGUGUUUGAGAGUCUGAAAGUGGGAGCCUUGAGUCCAGUCCAAGAGUCAGAAUAUGUAAGACCCAGAGAGUUUGAGAGUAUCAGAGAGUCAGAAUCUGUCCUCUCCUCCCUUUGUCCUUACUUUUUAAAGUGGAAAAUUAUCUGCACAUCACUAGUUGAUAGGUCCAAUAGGGAACUGUGGGUGUGUCUUCCCUACAGACUAUCAUCUAGAUUUUGGUCAGUAGGUGGCACAAUUACAUCACCAAACAUUUUUGUCAGGGUGUCCAUUUACCUUUUUGUAUAAUGGGUUAACUGAAUUUUGUGAUGCGUUUGAUGUUUUGUUAUCUUUUUAUGGCCACUAUAUAUCAAAGAACCUGUCAACUUAAAAUACUUUUUGGUUCACUCUUACACAGUCUUGGUGUCUGGCAUAUACCUUUUAAAUCUAGCUUUCUAAAAUUGUCUAAACUCUUCUUCACCUCUUUCUUACAAUGCAACUUUGUAAGAUUCCGUUAGUGUUUGGUUUGGUUUGUUUUUUUUUAGAAAGUAAAAUUAAUUACUUAGUGUUAUCAGUCAUUUGAUGUCUGUUUUUCCUGUGUGAAACUGUGUUUAAAGGACCACUCUAGGCACCUAGACCACUUCAGCUUAAUGAAGUGGUCUGGGUGCCAGGUCCCUCUAGGUUUAAC